AUGUUUUCUGUGAUGAUUUAAUACAGUUAUCCCUGACAUAAUAAAUAUUUGCUGAUAACUAUUUGCUCUGAAAAACAU